rnacentral:rRNA from 2 species
CGAACGAGUGUCUCGUUGAUGAUCGGUGCUUGCACCGAGAUUCAACAUGGGAACGAGUGGCGGACGGGUGAGUAACACGUGGGUAACCUGCCCUUAAGUGGGGGAUAACAUUUGGAAACAGAUGCUAAUACCGCAUAGAUCCAAGAACCGCAUGGUUCUUGGCUGAAAGAUGGCGUAAGCUAUCGCUUUUGGAUGGACCCGCGGCGUAUUAGCUAGUUGGUGAGGUAAUGGCUCACCAAGGCGAUGAUACGUAGCCGAACUGAGAGGUUGAUCGGCCACAUUGGGACUGAGACACGGCCCAAACUCCUACGGGAGGCAGCAGUAGGGAAUCUUCCACAAUGGACGCAAGUCUGAUGGAGCAACGCCGCGUGAGUGAAGAAGGCUUUCGGGUCGUAAAACUCUGUUGUUGGAGAAGAAUGGUCGGCAGAGUAACUGUUGUCGGCGUGACGGUAUCCAACCAGAAAGCCACGGCUAACUACGUGCCAGCAGCCGCGGUAAUACGUAGGUGGCAAGCGUUAUCCGGAUUUAUUGGGCGUAAAGCGAGCGCAGGCGGUUUUUUAA